UUGACCUCGGAUCAGGUAGGGAUACCCGCUGAACUUAAGCAUAUCAAUAAGCGGAGGAAAAGAAACCAACAGGGAUUGCCCUAGUAACGGCGAGUGAAGCGGCAACAGCUCAAAUUUGAAAUCUGGCGUCUUCGGCGUCCGAGUUGUAAUUUGCAGAGGGCGCUUUGGCAUUGGCAGCGGUCCAAGUUCCUUGGAACAGGACGUCACAGAGGGUGAGAAUCCCGUACGUGGUCGCUAGCCUUUACCGUGUAAAGCCCCUUCGACGAGUCGAGUUGUUUGGGAAUGCAGCUCUAAAUGGGAGGUAAAUUUCUUCUAAAGCUAAAUACUGGCCAGAGACCGAUAGCGCACAAGUAGAGUGAUCGAAAGAUGAAAAGCACUUUGGAAAGAGAGUUAAAAAGCACGUGAAAUUGUUGAAAGGGAAGGCGCUUGCAGCCAGACUUGCCUGUAGUUGCUCAUCCGGGUUUCUACCCGGUGCACUCUUCUAUAGGGCAGGCCAGCAUCAGUUUGGGCGGUUGGAUAAAGGUCUCUGUCAUGUACCUCUCUUCGGGGAGAACUUAUAGGGGAGACGACAUGCAACCAGCCUGGACUGAAGG
rnacentral:rRNA from 1 species